rnacentral:rRNA from 1 species
UACAGAGGGUGCUAGCGUUGUUCGGAAUCCUUGGGCGUAAAGGGCGUGUAGGCGGUUUGCUAAGUCAUGUGUGAAAUCCCUCGGCUUAACCGGGGAACGACGCAUGAAACUGGCAAGCUCGAGUCCGGAAGAGGCGAGUGGAAUUCCUGGUGUAGCGGUGAAAUGCGCAGAUAUCAGGAGGAACACCAAUGGCGAAGGCAGCUCGCUGGGACGUGACUGACGCUGAGACGCGAAAGCGUGGGGAGCAAACAGG